rnacentral:rRNA from 1 species
AACGAACGCUAGCGGCAUGCCUAACACAUGCAAGUCGAACGAGCCCUCCGGGACCUGUCUCGCCCGGGUGUGUCACGCGACGGAACAUGCACAUAGGUUCGGCCUACCUACACGACUGGGGUGCUAUUACCGGAUAAUGUCUUCUGCCCAAAGAUUUAUCGAAUUUGGUUGGGCACGCGUUGGAUUAGCUUGUUCGUAGGGUAAAAGCCUACCACGGCGACGAUUCAUAGCUGGUCUGAGAGGAUGAUCAGCCACACUGAGACUGAGACCCGGCCCAGACUCCUACGGGAGGCAGCAGUGGGGAAUAUUGGACAAUGGGCGAAAGCCUGAUGCAGCAAUGCCGCGAGAGUGAUGAAAGCCUUAGGGUUGUAAAGCUCAUGUACCCAGGAUGAUAAUGACGGUACCGGGAGAAAAAGCUACGGCUAACUCCGUG